CUGAGGCAGAAUCAUCACAAUUAAGGCCAGCCUGGGGUACAAAGGAAGUUCAAGAGGACCCUGUGCUACAUAAUAAGACCCUAUCUCAAAAAUGCCCAAAGAAUUAUUCACUGAAUUCUUGAUAUUUCAUUUUUUGAUAAUGUAUUGAUGGGACUGGUGUAAUUUCACUGUGAACUUGAACAAUUGAUGCAACCGAUUGCUACUGAAUAUUCACGGCUCAGCAAACUUUUUCGUCAAUGCUGCUAGAAGAAUUAGAAAAAAUUACCUUCUGAGUAGGAUCAGCCACCUACCCAUACAAGAUGAGGAGUAUUUUUUGAAAAGAGGUGUGUCCCUGAUCAAUACAGGGCAGCUUCAGGGAGAAAGGGUAUGUAAGAAAAAUAUGGGCUUGCUUUGGCUACUGCUGU